GGAGUUAGCCGGUGCUUCUUCUGCGAGUAACGUCACAGAUGUAAGGUAUUAACUUACACCCUUUCCUCCUCGCUGAAAGUGCUUUACAACCCGAAGGCCUUCUUCACACACGCGGCAUGGCUGCAUCAGGGUUUCCCCCAUUGUGCAAUAUUCCCCACUGCUGCCUCCCGUAGGAGUCUGGGCCGUGUCUCAGUCCCAGUGUGGCUGAUCAUCCUCUCAGACCAGCUAGGGAUCGUCGCCUAGGUGAGCCUUUACCUCACCUACUAGCUAAUCCCACCUGGGCUUAUCCAUCAGCGCAAGGCCCGAAGGUCCCCUGCUUUCCCCCGUAGGGCGUAUGCGGUAUUAGCAGUCGUUUCCAACUGUUAUCCCCACAAAUGGGCAAAUUCCCAGGCAUUACUCACCCGUCCGCCGCUCGUCAUCUUCAAAGCAAGCUUUUGAAAUGUUACCGCUCGACUUGCAUGUGUUAGGCCUGCCGCCAGCGUUCAAUCUGAGCCAGGAUCAAACUCUGA
rnacentral:rRNA from 1 species